UGUUGUUGUUCUUUCAUGGUAAAACGAGGCGAAAUGAGCGAAACAAUUGGUUGCAAAUUUAUACUUAUAUUCCUGUGAUUUCAAUUACCAAAUUGAACUUCGUAUCAUAUAUGCAUACUGUCAGUCAUUCCAACAAGUUGACUUAGCGCUCAGUCAUGCUGUCCAAAAAUCAUGUUUUAAGCACACAUAUAGUGGAAUACAAAUCUGCCGAGUUAAGGAUCUAUUCUGAAUCUCACAAUUUUGGUGGCGUACCCUGCAACAGCAUGUUUGUUGUUAUGGCUGUUUUUAGUUUUGUUUAGAAGGCAACCCAGCUAAGAGAUAGAGUUUCAGUGACAUGAAGACUGUGAAGUGAACCACCUAUCACCAUGCUACUGC